GCCCCGGUGGUGGAAAUGGCAGACACAAUGGACUUCCAAACCAUGGCUUUCACGGGCGUGCGGGUUCAAGUCCCGCCCGGGGCACCA
rnacentral:tRNA from 1 species